rnacentral:rRNA from 1 species
UACGUAGGGGCCGAGCGUUGUCCGGAGUUACUGGGCGUAAAGCGCGCGCAGGCGGCCAUGCGCGCCCGGCGUGAAAGCCCCCGGCUCAACCGGGGAGGGUCGUCGGGGACGGCAUGGCUUGAGGGCGGCAGGGGCCGGUGGAAUCCAUGGUGUAGUGGUGAAAUGCGUAGAGAUCAGGGGGAACACCCGUGGCGAAGGCGGCCGGCUGGGCCGACCCUGACGCUGAGGCGCGAAGGCGUGGGGAGCGAACGGG